rnacentral:rRNA from 1 species
GUGAGUAGUUCAGAGUUUGAUCCUGGCUCAGGAUGAACGCUGGCGGCGUGCUUAACACAUGCAAGCCGAACGGAGUUUUAAUAAUUGAUUGAUUAAGCUUGCUUUUGAGAGUAUUUUAUUAAAACUUAGUGGCGGACGGGUGAGUAACGCGUGGGUAACCUGCCGUAUACAGGGGGACAACAGUUGGAAACGACUGCUAAUACCGCAUAAGCGCACAGGACCGCAUGGUCCGGUGUGAAAAACUCCGGUGGUAUACGAUGGACCCGCGUCUGAUUAGCUAGUUGGUGAGGUAACGGCCCACCAAGGCGACGAUCAGUAGCCGGCCUGAGAGGGUGGACGGCCACAUUGGGACUGAGACACGGCCCAA